AUGUUGGUUUUUUUAGUUUAGAAAACACAGAAAACAGAAGAAAACAAAAAUCACCUAGUGAAUACUCAUUCAGUUUAAGUGCUGACAUACCUGUUUAGAAUCUUCUGGGUCCUCAUUGUAAAUUCUUAGUAGAAUCUGCUUGGUUCAGCUUGGAUCAUAUUUGUUCCUUGAGCCAUUCACCUGUAGCCAGGAAGGUUAGGAUCAUAUAGUGAUAUCAGAGUUGCAGAGACCCACCCCUUUGGGUUUUCAGAGAAGGAGAUCAUGAAGGACCCAAGAGGCUAUGAAAUUUGGUUGUGGAAAGCUCUUCCUGAAGGCAAUGCUGUUGGGGAAUGGGGGGCAUCUAGCAGGACCAGAGACAGAUGAAUUUGGGGCUGUUGCACCUAGGCAAAAAAAUAGGCUCCUGCACUAAGUAGUGACUAUUGGAUGGAGAGCUGAAGAAGGAAAAAUUAGGAGGGAGAACCAACCAACUACCUUUGGUGACUGAUUUGAUGGGGGAGAUGAGACUGGGUUUAGGUAAGAGGACAGGAAAACUGGUUAACAAGAUGGUGAUUUUGAGGUGCCUGUGGAACAACUAAGAAGAUGUGUCCCAUGGGCAGUUGUGGGCAGUUAGAGCUUAAAAGAGUGAUCUGGGUCGGAGUGAGGUGGUGGUUCCAGCUGGGAAUGAGGAUAAGAUAAUCAGGGAGAAUGUGCGGAGUGAGAAGCCAGAACCCAGGGAGGGCUACUAAUGGAUAAGGGGCAGUCAAUUAGGAGUCUGAACAGGUGUGAUUGAAGAGUUGAGAACUAGCAUGGAGUGCUGUCAUGGAAAUCAGCAGAGAGUAUUGUCAGGAAAGUUGAUGGGAAAUGCUGCAGACAGAUCCAAUGACACAGAGCCUGAAGAGAAUCUUUUCAACCUAGCAGCAAGAUUCAGAGAGGACCUCUUGGCUGGCUUAUGGAGAGGAAGAAGACAAAGUGAGAGAGAAGACAAAAGAGAAUGAGCAAUGGAGACAGAGGUGAGCUCUGAGAGAGAACCACAAGCUGAGGCUGCUCUCUGCAGAAGCUCUGUGGGGAAAUGGCUGCAUGGUGAACCCUGGGAAGGGAUCACAGGCUUCUGAGCAAGCGUUCCCACACUCCGAAUAUGUAAUAGAAACAGCAGCGAGCCUCCAGCCCUGCAGGUGAGAUGCAGAUAAAAGCAAUGGAAAGCACAGUGGCAACCAGAGUUGCUCCCCUGCUCUCCCACCUCUCCUUCCUGAGGUCUUAGAAAUUCCAAGCAUCCACCUAUCCAGAUGGGAUGGGGGAGAGGCCCAGGAAAGAUGAAGGUUGUCAAGACUACUGCACAUGCAUGUUGGUGGCUUACAGAAAAGUGCCUGAGCUGAGGGGUGAGGGUGAAGGCUGGCUGAAAUCUACGUGUUCUCUGAGCCCCAAGCUCUGUACCUGAAGGAAGAGGCUUUUUGUGACUUGCUCAGUGAAGGUGUGCUUGUGAUUCUACUAUCUGGAAGGGGUGUGUUUUGGAAAUUGAGUGCUAGCAGAGCCCCAAAAGUUGACUUCCACCAACCCAGAGUCAGAAAUAAUGUGGUUUCUAGACAGUGGGAUCCACAUCUACUACAUGUGUGCCAGGCCCACCUGAUGGAUGGCUGUGAAAAUCAAAUGAGGUAAUAUGUGUGAAGAAGGUAUUUGAAAAUUGGUGACAUGCACACAUGCUUGAGGUAUUAUUAUCAGCAGCUUUGAGACAUUGUGCCAGAACAGUUCUUUUUAUGUAUGAUCCAUAUAAAACAUUAAAUUUCUCAUCAUUGCACUUUACUUGGAAGUGAGAGGACUAAGCCUACAAAACUGUAUGUUCAUUUUAUUCAAGCCAUUGCAUUUGGCUUGUGGAAUGGUUAUUCUAGGUCCUUAGAUCAUUUGUUUGCUUAACAAAAACAAUACACGUUCUAUGUACUAUUAAAUAAACAUUGAUGAUUGUGACACUAAAAUUAAAAAUGUAAAAUACCAUGAAACUCAAUUAAAUCAUUCUCAAAGGACUCUAAAAUGCAAGCUUUCAUGGUGCCAAGAUAAUUUCCUCUGUUGGUACGCCAGACCAGGUUUAAAAUGAAAAUAUCGAGUACACGUAAACUCAAUGGUUCUGUCCUAUAUUGUCACAGUAAGAGUUGAACCCAGGGACUCUAAUUUAGAAACUGAAUCCAAUAAGACUUCUAUUUUGGCUUCCUAAAGGCCUUUCUCUCUUUCCUAUUCCUGAUUUUAUUUUUUAAGCUAUAACUAAAAUUACUUAGUAAAAAAAUGUUUUGAGACAUGUGAAUUCAUUUAUAAAGUAGUUCUGCUAUAAAAUAUCUUUUUGGCAUCAAUUUCAAUGAGCUCAUUUUCCCCCUUAUUCUUUUGUUUAAAGAUGAGAGAAACUGGUAGGAGGAA
ensembl:lncRNA